rnacentral:misc_RNA from 1 species
GACGAAGAACGCAGCGAAAUGCGAUACGUAAUGUGAAUUGCAGAAUUCAGUGAAUCAUCGAAUCUUUGAACGCAUAUUGCGCUCUCUGGUAUUCCGGAGAGCAUGCUUGUUUGAGUAUCAGUAAACACCUCAACUUCCAUAUCUUUUUUGAAAUGGGAGUUGGACUUGAGUGAUCCCAACGCUUUUCCUCACCGAAAAGUGGCGGGUUACUUGAAAUGCAGGUGCAGCUGGACUUUUCUCUGAGCUAUAAGCAUAUCUAUUUAGUCUGCCUAAAAAACAGAUUAUUACCUUUGCUGCAGCUAACAUAAAGGAGAUUAGUUCUUGUGCUGACUGAUGCAGGAUUCACAAAGACAGGCUUCGGCCGACUUUGUAAUCUCGAUCUCAAAUCAAGUAAGACUACCCGCUGAACUUAAGCAUAUCAAUAAGCGGAGGA